UGUCUUUGUGAUGUUUAGUUCUUUGAUUUUCAUGUCAUUUAUAUUUUCUUUUUGUUUUCUUGAAUACCGUGCACCAUGUGGUUGGUAUGCUCAAUACUGAUUUUGGUCAUCAUGAGGUGAUUCUUCCUUCUUUAUAUUUUCAAGGCAAGGAAUUUCUACCUACUAGAUUGAAUAGACAAUAUUUCUAUUCAGUUUAGUUUCUGAGUUGUAAAUGAAUUGCUUCCUCAUUUCUUAUAGAAUAUUUAUUUUUGUAUCCUCUCUGAUAAGAUAUUUUGCUAGAAGUUUCAUAUAUCAGUUAACCUUUCUUUCUUGAUCGCAUGUUUUUUGUGCAUUGCUUUUUAUCAACUCUUAGGAUCUUCUUUUACAUGGUUAACUUUUAUUUACCGAGAUCUUUUGUAGGGUAUGUUUUAGCUUACUUUUAAUGGAUCUUCCUCUCUUUUCCUUCCCUUCUUACCCUUUCUUCAUCCAAUUUCACGACCAUUGGUGUGAAACCUCGCGGUUCCAAUGCUUUACCUUCAACCUCUCAUCGAAGUUACUUUAGGGAAAUACUGGAUCUUGAUUCCGAGCCACUUCGUGUAUUCACCCUGUGUUCAGCUGCUCGACGUCAUCACCAUCGGAGCCAAUCACGAGGAGCACGGGCAAUCCGAUGUGGUAACAAAGCUGGUGGAGUUUCCAAGGCGUCAGGGAGUUUAAUCUGUCAGCUCCGCCAUCACUUGUCUCUUCCGGUGACUGGGUCAUUCCUUUUCCACCCUCCUUUGGUUGAGACCAGAACUUUUGAGAAAGUUAAAGAAGUAUUAUAUUAUGCUUCCCAAACAAACACUUCUUUGACCUGAAUAAUGUUGGAUAAUAUGGUUUUAUCUCUACCUAAUGGAGAUGUGGAUAUAUCAAUGCUAAAAGAAGAUGUGCAGUUAGUCAAUGAAAAAUUUGAGAUUGAGGUAUUCAUGACUAAAUUUGUUUUUAGUUCAAUCAUGCCAUAUUUAUUGAAUUAUUUUUCAACUAAAUGGUUUAGAAUAUUUACUGCUGAUUUGAUAUUGUAUAUUUCAAUGGUUUACUUGUUCUGUUUGACAAACUAGCAUAUCUUCUCAAUCUUUUAAUCUUUUAAAGAGGUGGAUGGAAAAUUGUCAAGCAGAGUGUAAUGUCCGCAAAGUUUUAGUUACAACUUGGUUGGUUGGUGGUAACAAAGUUCAGGAAAAAAGACACACUUAUAAAGUGAAAUUGAAGAUGGCUCAGAAUAUGAAAGAAUUGUAAAAUUGUAUAUAUGCUUCUAAUCCCUAUCUAAAUCAAUGAAUCUUGAUAUUGGUUGUCAUUUGUUAAUUUUAGAAGUGUUUAUGAAUUUUGAUAUUGGUACUUUUCUUUAUGAAGGGAGUGAAUGAUUGAUUGAUUGAUAAAAUAUCAAGAAAUUUUAGUCAAAUAGAGUAGGCGAGUCAAUUUCUGCAUGCGAGUCAAGGAGAGUAGGCGUAAUGUACUUAGGUAACUUGUGGCUGCCUCCUCUCUCUCUUUGAUUUUUGAACUAUAAUCAUAUUUUUUUUCCUCUUUUUGAAUUACAUUAUCAUUGGAGUGUUAACAUUGUCCAUAUAAUAAUACUAUUAGUAUGCAUAAUAGACUAUGGUUUAAAACAAUACCAUUUCCUGUUGGUAAAUCUUCUUUCUUUAUUUCCUUCUAUGUGGAUUGCAUUUUUGUAUUCAGAAAGAGAGUAUUAAUUUUUUAAUAGAAAACGAGUUUUUUUUUAUGUAAAAAUUCGACAAAACUAGAUACUUUGGGAUGUGUUCAAAAUAACUUAUUAUCGUAAGGUUUUAGGACCAUUUUUAGGGAAAUUACUUUUUUUUCUUGAAACAAUUUUUAAGUUUUAACACAAACAUGUAAUUACAGAUUUUAGGUAUUAAGGAUUAGGGUUUAAUGUUUGGAGUAGUUUAAUGCAAAAGGUGUGUGUUUGGAUUAAUUUGUUUGUUCUCAGUCAAAAGCUUCUUGAGGCAUUUGUCGAAGAAAAAAAUUGUGUAUUUGUUUCCUAAAAUUAUGUUAAGCAGAGUUGCUCUAUAUGAAAGUAGGUACUGUGACUACAACAUUUGAAGUACAUUUUGAAACGAGCGACUAUAACAUUUGAAGUUAUUUAUUAGUUAUGUGAAUAUUCUAGCUCUGAAAAAUUCCUAAUGCUUUCUUCCUUAAUCUGUAUUGCUAUUACAUGAAGUUGAUCAGUUUGAAAGAUAAAUUUAUAUUAAAGAAAAAACUAAAUAUACUGUUAAUAAUUAUCUUUAAUUUUAAAAACCUAUAUAUGUCCAAAGUUAUCUUCUAUGUUUUUUAUGUGACAUUUUUAUAAAUAUUUGUAGUGCAGAAGUUUAAAUAUCCUACAAAAUAUAUUCCAUCACAUCAUCUAUAUUUUUUAGAGUGGAUCUUCAUUUCAAUUGUAAUAUCGUAUGAUCAACGAAGGAGUUAGAAGGUAACAAUAUCUAGGUGCAAAGUUAAAAGUUAACAAUGUCUUUAUAUGUUUUUUAAAAUUUUCUUAUUUCAUAUCCUGCUUUUUCUUUUAUGUUCACUGUGAUUAACUGUAAGUUGAUUUUGAAUUUUUAUCUAAUGCUUUGAGUUGUUGCCUAAUAUUCUUCAAGACAAUAUCUUUUGCUCCAUAUAUUUUAUGGGGCUAAUACUACUCUUUAUUAUGGACAUUUUGUUUGACAUAUAUUAAGUUAUACUAGAAUUAGUCUUAUUUGAAAGAUUCAUAUAAUUGCAACAUUAAGACUUCGUUCUGUAUCAUGUUGAUCCUCUGUGAUUCUAGAAUUUUUCAAUGCUAUGGGAUAUGUUUAUAUAAUCCUUUAUACCCCUUUGUUUGGAUCCAUAUGCGAGUUUUGCAGGAAAAGAAAAAAGGAAAAAGGAGAACAAUAUUCAUUGUUAAGUUGGUGGCAUAAUGUAAUAAGAUACGAACUAUGUGCCUUCAUUUUUUAUUAUUUCACAAACAAUUCUAAUUACUUUUCAAUUAUUUUGGUUAAUAAGUAUUUUUUUAUUUUUA